UUAAGCGACUAAGCGUACACGGUGGAUGCCCUGGCAGUCAGAGGCGAUGAAGGACGUGCUAAUCUGCGAUAAGCGUCGGUAAGGUGAUAUGAACCGUUAUAACCGGCGAUUUCCGAAUGGGGAAACCCAGUGUGAUUCGUCACACUAUCAUUAACUGAAUCCAUAGGUUAAUGAGGCGAACCGGGGGAACUGAAACAUCUAAGUACCCCGAGGAAAAGAAAUCAACCGAGAUUCCCCCAGUAGCGGCGAGCGAACGGGGAGCAGCCCAGAGCCUGAAUCAGUGUGUGUGUUAGUGGAAGCGUCUGGAAAGGCGUGCGAUACAGGGUGACAGCCCCGUACACAAAAAUGCACAUAUUGUGAGCUCGAUGAGUAGGGCGGGACACGUGGUAUCCUGUCUGAAUAUGGGGGGACCAUCCUCCAAGGCUAAAUACUCCUGACUGACCGAUAGUGAACCAGUACCGUGAGGGAAAGGCGAAAAGAACCCCGGCGAGGGGAGUGAAAAAGAACCUGAAACCGUGUACGUACAAGCAGUGGGAGCACGCUUAGGCGUGUGACUGCGUACCUUUUGUAUAAUGGGUCAGCGACUUAUAUUCUGUAGCAAGGUUAACCGAAUAGGGGAGCCGAAGGGAAACCGAGUCUUAACUGGGCGUUAAGUUGCAGGGUAUAGACCCGAAACCCGGUGAUCUAGCCAUGGGCAGGUUGAAGGUUGGGUAACACUAACUGGAGGACCGAACCGACUAAUGUUGAAAAAUUAGCGGAUGACUUGUGGCUGGGGGUGAAAGGCCAAUCAAACCGGGAGAUAGCUGGUUCUCCCCGAAAGCUAUUUAGGUAGCGCCUCGUGAAUUCAUCUCCGGGGGUAGAGCACUGUUUCGGCAAGGGGGUCAUCCCGACUUACCAACCCGAUGCAAACUGCGAAUACCGGAGAAUGUUAUCACGGGAGACACACGGCGGGUGCUAACGUCCGUCGUGAAGAGGGAAACAACCCAGACCGCCAGCUAAGGUCCCAAAGUCAUGGUUAAGUGGGAAACGAUGUGGGAAGGCCCAGACAGCCAGGAUGUUGGCUUAGAAGCAGCCAUCAUUUAAAGAAAGCGUAAUAGCUCACUGGUCGAGUCGGCCUGCGCGGAAGAUGUAACGGGGCUAAACCAUGCACCGAAGCUGCGGCAGCGACGCUNAUGCGUUGUUGGGUAGGGGAGCGUUCUGUAAGCCUGCGAAGGUGUGCUGUGAGGCAUGCUGGAGGUAUCAGAAGUGCGAAUGCUGACAUAAGUAACGAUAAAGCGGGUGAAAAGCCCGCUCGCCGGAAGACCAAGGGUUCCUGUCCAACGUUAAUCGGGGCAGGGUGAGUCGACCCCUAAGGCGAGGCCGAAAGGCGUAGUCGAUGGGAAACAGGUUAAUAUUCCUGUACUUGGUGUUACUGCGAAGGGGGGACGGAGAAGGCUAUGUUGGCCGGGCGACGGUUGUCCCGGUUUAAGCGUGUAGGCUGGUUUUCCAGGCAAAUCCGGAAAAUCAAGGCUGAGGCGUGAUGACGAGGCACUACGGUGCUGAAGCAACAAAUGCCCUGCUUCCAGGAAAAGCCUCUAAGCAUCAGGUAACAUCAAAUCGUACCCCAAACCGACACAGGUGGUCAGGUAGAGAAUACCAAGGCGCUUGAGAGAACUCGGGUGAAGGAACUAGGCAAAAUGGUGCCGUAACUUCGGGAGAAGGCACGCUGAUAUGUAGGUGAAGNUGGAGCUGAAAUCAGUCGAAGAUACCAGCUGGCUGCAACUGUUUAUUAAAAACACAGCACUGUGCAAACACGAAAGUGGACGUAUACGGUGUGACGCCUGCCCGGUGCCGGAAGGUUAAUUGAUGGGGUCAGCGCAAGCGAAGCUCUUGAUCGAAGCCCCGGUAAACGGCGGCCGUAACUAUAACGGUCCUAAGGUAGCGAAAUUCCUUGUCGGGUAAGUUCCGACCUGCACGAAUGGCGUAAUGAUGGCCAGGCUGUCUCCACCCGAGACUCAGUGAAAUUGAACUCGCUGUGAAGAUGCAGUGUACCCGCGGCAAGACGGAAAGACCCCGUGAACCUUUACUAUAGCUUGACACUGAACAUUGAGCCUUGAUGUGUAGGAUAGGUGGGAGGCUUUGAAGUGUGGACGCCAGUCUGCAUGGAGCCGACCUUGAAAUACCACCCUUUAAUGUUUGAUGUUCUAACGUGGACCCGUAAUCCGGGUUGCGGACAGUGUCUGGUGGGUAGUUUGACUGGGGCGGUCUCCUCCUAAAGAGUAACGGAGGAGCACGAAGGUUGGCUAAUCCUGGUCGGACAUCAGGAGGUUAGUGCAAUGGCAUAAGCCAGCUUGACUGCGAGCGUGACGGCGCGAGCAGGUGCGAAAGCAGGUCAUAGUGAUCCGGUGGUUCUGAAUGGAAGGGCCAUCGCUCAACGGAUAAAAGGUACUCCGGGGAUAACAGGCUGAUACCGCCCAAGAGUUCAUAUCGACGGCGGUGUUUGGCACCUCGAUGUCGGCUCAUCACAUCCUGGGGCUGAAGUAGGUCCCAAGGGUAUGGCUGUUCGCCAUUUAAAGUGGUACGCGAGCUGGGUUUAGAACGUCGUGAGACAGUUCGGUCCCUAUCUGCCGUGGGCGCUGGAGAACUGAGGGGGGCUGCUCCUAGUACGAGAGGACCGGAGUGGACGCAUCACUGGUGUUCGGGUUGUCAUGCCAAUGGCACUGCCCGGUAGCUAAAUGCGGAAGAGAUAAGUGCUGAAAGCAUCUAAGCACGAAACUUGCCCCGAGAUGAGUUCUCCCUGACUCCUUGAGAGUCCUGAAGGAACGUUGAAGACGACGACGUUGAUAGGCCGGGUGUGUAAGCGCAGCGAUGCGUUGAGCUAACCGGUACUAAUGAACCGUGAGGCUUAACCUU
rnacentral:rRNA from 1 species